rnacentral:rRNA from 1 species
GUAAUACAUCGGAACGUACCCAGUAGCGGGGGAUAGCCCGGCGAAAGCCGGAUUAAUACCGCAUACGCCCUACGGGGGAAAGGGGGGGAUCGCAAGACCUCUCACUAUUGGAGCGGCCGAUGGCUGAUUAGCUAGUUGGUGGGGUAAAGGCCUACCAAGGCAACGAUCAGUAGCUGGUCUGAGAGGACGACCAGCCACACUGGGACUGAGACACGGCCCAGACUCCUACGGGAGGCAGCAGUGGGGAAUUUUGGACAAUGGGCGAAAGCCUGAUCCAGCAAUGCCGCGUGUGCGAAGAAGGCCUUCGGGUUGUAAAGCACUUUUGUCAGGGAAGAAAUCGUUCGGGCUAAUACCUCGGGCAGUUGACGGUACCUGAAGAAUAAGCACCGGCUAACUACGUGCCAGCAGCCGCGGUAAUACGUAGGGUGCAAGCGUUAAUCGGAAUUACUGGGCGUAAAGCGUGCGCAGGUGGUUCGUUAAGACAGUUGUGAAAUCCCCGGGCUUAACCUGGGAACUGCAAUUGUGACUGGCGGACUAGAGUUUGGCAGAGGGGGGUGGAAUUCCUGGUGUAGCAGUGAAAUGCGUAGAUAUCAGGAGGAACACCGAUGGCGAAGGCAGCCCCCUGGGCCAUGACUGACACUCAUGCA